rnacentral:rRNA from 1 species
AUGUGGCAUCAUCAAGGAAUCCAAAUACCUGAGCAAGCAGCCUCCAAACUAGCAACACUCAAAUCUAAUGAUAGUCAAUCAGACAUCAUUAGAGCAGCAGCAAAGGAAGCUAGGCGGAAAAGGAAAGAGAUCCUCCAACUAAAAAAGGCAAGCAAACGUCUAAGGACAAAAAAGGGCAAUGACUGUGAAGUAUCUAAUGUAACGCAGGAUGUCGCUCAAGUUUCAUAUCUGGGAAAACCAAUUUGUGUUUGUGAAUUUUGCAAUGCCAUUAUGUGGCAUGGAGAGAGAAGCACAAGCACAGGUAACAUCACAGUUCCAAAAUUUGGUCUCUGCUGCAAGGAAGGGAAAGUUAAAUUACCACCACUGAAACAAGCUCCGGUGUAUCUCCGACAGCUACUACGUUACAAUGAAAGAGGAGAAUCAUCAAAUUUCCGCCAGCACAUCAGGUUGUACAACUCGAUGUUCGCAUUCACUUCAAUGGGAGGAAAGGUUGACUAUGAAAUUAAUAAGCAGGCAUCUGGACCGUAUGUUUUCCGUUUGAAUGGCCAGAAUUACCAUCAGAUUGGCACUUUACUUCCUAAAGAUGACGUGACGAAACCAAAAUUUGCCCAAUUAUACAUACAUGACACAGAAAAUGAAGUGCAGAAUAGGAUUAAUGCAUCUGCUUCAACGGAGAGUAAGACACAACCAGAUGAAAACAUUGUCAAAGGACUACUAGAGAUGCUUGAUGAGCACAAUGUUUUAGUCAAAUCAUUUUGUAUGGCAAGGGACAGAUUCCAAAACCGACGUAUUAAAGAUGUAAGAUUAAGGUUGAUCAACAAAAGGUCGAAAGAUGGACGGCAAUACAACCUACCAUCCGCCUCAGAAGUCGCAGCACUAAUUAUUGGGGAACAAGAUGGAGAAAAUAAUGAAUUUGAUAUAAUAGUUGAGACCAAAGACAGAAUGUUACAGAGGAUUUCAGACAAAGGUAAAAGAAAGUAUGUAACAAUGCUGGAGUUUUAUGCGUAUCGCAUACAACAACGUCUGAACCAAGCUUCAACAUUGCAAAUGAGUGGAUGUUUGUUCCUACAGUUCUUAGUUGAUGCAACAAUGUGCAUUGCACAGUGGAGACUAAAUUGGUACAGGACAAACCAAGGUAAGUUGAGGACAGAACUGUACAGAGGACUGCAUGAUGCAAUAGAAAAUGGAGAUACACGAACCGAACAAGUUGGACAAAGAAUCAUACUACCCUCAUCAUAUAAUGGCAGUCCAAGAAAUAAGCAGCAAAACUACCAAGAUGCCAUGGCGAUUUGUCAUUGGGCUGGCUAUCCUGAUCUCUUCAUUACUUUUACAUGCAAUCCAAAAUGGCUGGAAAUACAAGAUAUGUUGGAUCUGAUUCCAGGCCAGAAACCUGAAGAUCGUCCAGAUAUUGUUGCCAGAGUAUUCAUGUUAAAACUGAAGGAACUUAUGAAUGACUUAAAGAACGGAAAGUGUUUUGGACAAACAAUUGCAAGUUUACCUAAUAAGUACAUAUUCACUCUUUCCUAG